GACGUAGGGCGCGAGCGUUGUCCGGAUUUAUUGGGCGUAAAGAGCUCGUAGGCGGCUUGUUGCGUCGACUGUGAAAACCCGCGGCUUAACUGCGGGCUUGCAGUUGAUACGGGCAGGCUAGAGUUCGGUAGGGGAGACUGGAAUUCCUGGUGUAGCGGUGAAAUGCGCAGAUAUCAGGAGGAACACCGGUGGCGAAGGCGGUUCUCUGGGCCUGUACUGACGCUGAGGAGCGAAAGCGUGGGGAGCGAACAGG
rnacentral:rRNA from 1 species